rnacentral:rRNA from 1 species
CCUACGGGAGGCUGCAGUGGGGGAUAUUGCACAAUGGGGGGAACCCUGAUGCAGCGACGCCGCGUGGGUGCAGAAGGGCCUCGGCGCGUAAAGCCCUGUCAGCAGGGAAGAACAUGACGGUACCUGAAGAAGAAGCACCGGCGAACUACGUGCUAGCAACCGCGGUCAUACGUCGGGGGCAAGCGUUAUCCGGAUUUAAUGGGUGUAAAGGGGGCGCAGACCGCGAUGCAAGCCAGGAGUGAAAGCAAGGGGCCCAACCCCGAGACUGCUCGUGGAACUGCGUGGCUUGAGUGCAGGAGGGGCAGGCGGAAUUCCUGGUGUAGCGGUGAAAUGCGGAGAUAUCAGGAGGAACACCGGUGGCGAAGGCGGCCUGCUGGACUGCAACUGACGUUGAGGCCCGAAAGCGUGGGGAGCAAACAGGAUUAGAUACCCUUGUAGUC